rnacentral:lncRNA from 1 species
AUGUGACCACUUGUCACACUUCCAUCAAACAGUACCUGCCCCUUAGGUGUGCUAGGGAAUAAAUGAAAUGCCUGGGACAUCAUCGUUAAGUGGCAUCUGAUGCAUAAGCAGUGCCCUAGGAAUGGGGUUGCCUGCCUUGGUCUCUAAAGGAUGGGUUCAAAAGGCAAGAGCAGCACACAAGAAGAUAGCUUCAAGCAGGAGAUAAAGCUUGGCCCAGGGCCCAAAGGGGAUACGACCCUUCAGCAAACUGACAUGCUGAAAGCUGCCCUAUGGAGAGGCUCAUGUGGCAAGGAACAGAGGGUGGCUUCUGGCCAACACCCAGUGAGGAACUCAGGCCCUCAGUCAAACAGCCUGCAAGGAACUGAACCCUGCCAAUAACCAGGCAGUGUCAGCCCCCGGCCAAUGACCACCAUGGACCUCCCUGUAGUUGAACAAAGUUGGGUUUGCUGACUGGUGGCAGUGAGGGAGAAUGCACACCACAGGGAGCUGUGCAGUGUCUCAGUAAGAAGCCAGGAGCCAUCCCGUGAGGCCGUUACUGCAAACAAGCUGAAAAUCCUGCUUUGUUUCUUUUGGACACAACAUGCUUUCCUUCAGCUUCAGUAGACGAUGAGGCCAGCACCACAUGGGCUAGAUGUACAUGAGAUGUGAGCAACCACACUUCCCCUCUGACGGGGACAGACAGCAUCACAGGACAUGAAGUUCUAAGAGGUUCAGUGACUUGUCUAAGAUUAAACAGCUAUGAAUGGAGAACUGGAGGCAAAUGCCUCAUCAUCUCUCACCUGGGCAACUGCAACAAUGAGCAGUUUGUGUCUGUGCCUGCAUCCAUCCUUCCAUCCUGUACUCCAGCAGCAGCCAGGGUGGUCUUUCAAAAAUGCAAAGCUGAUAAUGUUACUCCCCUGCUGUAAACCUUCCAGCGGUUUCCUAUUGCCUUCAGAAUAAAAUACGAAUCAUCUGGCCUCCAUCUAUCUCUCCAGGCUCAUCCUCUCUCAAUUUUCCAUAUCCUUCAGGCUGAGCUCUGAAACUUCUCCUGGCAGUUCAAGAGAGCGAUGGAGGGAAUGCUGGGGCACAUCUAAAUAAAGCCUCCAAGUGGGAGUUCCUGCU